UGAUGUGUCUAACUGGAUGGUGAAAUUGUGAUGAAGUGGUUGGUUUGAUGGAACCACAAGCUGUUCUGUCUUGGCAAGGUUGAGUUGAAGGUGAUGGUCCUUCAUCCAGCAAGAAAUGUCUGUUAGACAAGCUGAGAUGCAAGCAGCUAUCAUCAGAUCAUCAGGAUGGAAUGAGAGGUAGAGUUGAGUGUCAUCAGCAUAGCAGUGAUAUGAAAAGCCAUGUUUCUGAAUGACAAAAUGUAGACAGUGAUUCCAUGUAGACAGAGAAUAUAAGUGGUCCAAGAACUGAGCCCUGAGGCACCCCAGCAGCUAGAUGUUACGACUUGGACACCUCACCCCCCCAAGAUACCUUGAAGGACCUGUCUGAGAGGUAAUUGUCAAACCACUGGAGUGCGGUUCCUGAGAUGCCCUUUGCCAAUAGGGUUGACAGGAGGAUCUGGUGGUUGACCAUAUCAAAAGAAGUGGACAGAUCCAGCUAGUUAAGUAAUGGAGAUUUGGAAACCGCUCUUGCCAGUCUUAGGGCUUCAACAACUGAGAGCAAGGCAGUCUCGGUUUAAUGUCCACUUCUGAAACCAGACUGGUUGCUGUCGAGGAGGUUGUUCUGUGUGAGAAAGGCAGAGACUUGGUUGAACACAACUCGUUCAAGAGUUUUUGCUAUGAAAGGAAGAAGGGAAAAUAGUUCUUUAAAAGAGUUGGGUUAAGAGUGGGUUUCUUAAGUAGUGGGGUUAUACGAGCCUGUCUAAAUGCUGAGGGAAAAACACCAGUGUGAAUGAGAUGAAAUAUGAUGAGAUGAAAUAGAAUCAAGUGGACAAGUAGUAGGAUGAUUUAGGAAGGAUGAGUUUAGAGACUUCUGACUCAGAGAGUGGAGAGAAGGAUGUGAAAGAGUGUAUGUUUGUUGGUAAGAUGUGUUUGACAGUUUGAGUAAGAGAUGCUAACUGUUUAGAGCAAGGAAGCGAAGAUGAAAGUAAAACAGAGAGCCUGGAGGGUGAAUGUGAGCCUAGUUUACAUCGAAAGAUGACAUGCGGAGGGGUAUGUGUUGUGUCAGGAACCAUGUUGAGGUUAAGAGUGAGCAGGAAGUGAUCUGAGGUGUGCAGUGGGGUAACCAGCACAUGAUCAGUGGAGCAGUGUCCUGAGAAUUAAUGAGAAAUUAUUGAAUUAAAUUAAAGAUUAUUAAAUAUAUAAUUAUCAUUGUAAUGCAUGGGGUGGGACUGAGAACCAUGAACGUGAGGCUUGGUGGCUCCCACGGCUCUCAGCCCCUCCCCUCAAUUUUUAGUGAAAGUGACGUGACGUGACGUGGCCAAGUAUGGUUACCCAUACUCGGAAUUUGUGUUCUGCAAUUAACCCAUCCAAAUUGCACACACACAGCAGUGAACGAAUGAACACACAGUGCAAAUGACAACUGAGCCACCUAUGAACCUUGAUCAGUCUCAAGAAACUUGGAUGAAGAAGAACAAACAUUUCCCAUCCACCAAUUCCAAAUGAUUUUCUGUUCCACAAAAAAAAAAAAAACAUGUUCCCCCCAAAAAAGGAUCCACAAGUAUGUGACACAGAGCAAGAAAUGUUCAAGUUUUGGUGCAUGUCAGCUUCCUGCAAAGGUACUCAAUGUAGAGGAAGAGGUCGACAUGCUAUGGAAGAAGCCACCUACAGAGUUGAUAAGUCUCCUAGCCAGAAUCUGGAGUACCUGUUACAUCCCAAGGAAUUCCAAACACUGAGGCCACAUGAAUGAUUAUUUGGAGAGGAAUACAUAUCAAAACAAAAAUCUGAAUGCAUAAUUGUACAAUUAUAUUUGUAUUUGUAAAUGCUGUCCUCAAUAUAUUCAAGUAUUUUGAUUCAAAUUGACGUUUGAUUCAAAAUGCUGUAUUAUUUGUAGACUAUUGAGUGCUAUUUAAGAGCUGUACUUAAUAUGAAGGGUGCAAAUCUCUACCAGCAAAACCAUUACACCACAGGUGUCAUUUUAAAUAGCACAAGGGAGCAGAUGGCAUGGCAAAGAUUGCGAAAAGUGAGAGCAGCUCCUUAUGAUUCUUAAUUUUUACAUGUACAGUACACAGACAUGAUUAUGCAUAUUUCUGAUAAACAGGUCAACUUUGAGCAAUAUGAUGGGCUCAUCACUUUCGUAAAUAUCAACAACAUACACUAGAGGUUUGCGUGACUACAUGCUUACACUGAC